rnacentral:rRNA from 1 species
UCGAGUGGCAUCACUUGAUUAUUAAAGUUCCAACGGUAAAAGAUGAGCAUGCGUCCCAUUAGCUAGAUGGUAAGGUAACGGCUUACCAUGGCAACGAUGGGUAGGGGUCCUGAGAGGGAGAUCCCCCACACUGGUACUGAGACACGGACCAGACUCCUACGGGAGGCAGCAGUGAGGAAUAUUGGUCAAUGGGCGCAAGCCUGAACCAGCCAUGCCGCGUGCAGGAUGACGGUCCUAUGGAUUGUAAACUGCUUUUAUACGAGAAGAAACACUCCUUCGUGAAGGAGCUUGACGGUAUCGUAAGAAUAAGGAUCGGCUAACUCCGUGCCAGCAGCCGCGGUAAUACGGAGGAUCCAAGCGUUAUCCGGAAUCAUUGGGUUUAAAGGGUCCGUAGGCGGUUAGAUAAGUCAGUGGUGAAAGCCCAUCGCUCAACGGUGGAACGGCCAUUGAUACUGUUUAACUUGAAUUAUUAGGAAGUAACUAGAAUAUGUAGUGUAGCGGUGAAAUGCUUAGAGAUUACAUGGAAUACCAAUUGCGAAGGCAGGUUACUACUAAUGGAUUGACGCUGAUGGACGAAAGCGUGGGUAGCGAACAGGAUUAGAUACCCUGGUAGUCCACGCCGUAAACGAUGGAUACUAGCUGUUGGGAGCAAUCUCAGUGGCUAAGCGAAAGUGAUAAGUAUCCCACCUGGGGAGUACGUUC